rnacentral:lncRNA from 1 species
GAAUUAACUCAGUUGGUAGUCUUAAUCAAAUACAAAUUCAUAGACAUUUGAAUACCGAAAAUGUUGAAAAUGAGUGUCAAAAAGUCUUAAGGUGGUAUGGGAUAAAAUUGAGAAUGGAAAUGGGGAAUGUGUCAAAGUGACAACAACCUGACCAAAGAACAGAAAACAGCUGAAAGGCCACAAAUGGGUCUUCAAUACAGGGAGAAAAUUCUGCACCCAGAGGCGAGCUUCAGCUGUUUCCUAAACAAAAAUGUGUACUAGUUCAGUGAUAAUGGAAGUAAUAUUAAAAUCCGAAAUAUAUAAAUGAUUAAAAUUAAAAAAUCAUACAAGACUAACAAAGACAAGAGGCUCUUAUUUUGGAAUGGGUAAUAAAGCGGAGUUAAACAUGUUUUUUGAGAUCUCAAGCCUCCCCCUAUACCUCUAGCUAAUGUAGAAAAAACAAUCAGACAGCAAUAUGAACAGUUAAACUCAGUUUGAAAGAAAAGCAUAAAUUAAAAAAUGAUAGAAUUUGUUCAUACUUUGCCAAAACUUAAUAUAGAUUGUGAUAUGUUAAAAAAAAUAUAGGUCACCAAGCAUUUUCGCAGGGUACAGGUUGUGACAAAAUGACACUUUUUAUUGAUAUACAGGAAAAAACAUCUUUAAGUGAUUUUGUAGCUGAAAUGAUAGAAUUGUAAAGUAAGGUAGCUUUUAAAAAUGCUUUGAGAAGAG